rnacentral:lncRNA from 1 species
UAUUUCCAUGGGAUUACAACUUUCCCAUCUCUCUUCUUUGAAAAUUACAAUCAAACAAGAGGCAUCUCAUUACUUUCCCGUUGACCACAAUUUCCUCCCUUUUUUUUCCCGCGAACCAAAUGAGCUCUUCAUGGGAAAGUCUUUCCCAUGAGAAACAUGGAAAAAUUACUUUCUCAUAAGGCGGAAUCACUUCAUUUUUAUUUUUUUCCAAAAAGGCCAUUCAGCAUUAAAGAAGUAUUAAAAAGGCAUUAAAGAUCUAAUUUUUAUUAAGGGCAUAAUAGAAAUUAUAUAUAACUUUCUCAGGAAAGUGGAUGAUUGGUCAACCAAACAUAAGCAUUUUGUAAAUUUGUCA